rnacentral:lncRNA from 10 species
AGUUGUAGCCCUGCAUGCUUUCUGGGGAGCACACUCUAGCCACCGAGAUGAAGGCACGGGGAGGCCCGACCGUAGGUCGAACACGUCAGUCAGUGGCUGAUCCUUCCCAUGGUCUCUGGAUACACCAGUGAAGGCAGGAGGUGAAGUCUCCCAGAUCACCUGGGAACAGCCAUGGACACUUGUCUGGGGCUGCAUGAGACAGUGUCUGAGACUCACCUUUGACACAAAUGUAACUGAAGGGGAGAAGCUGCCCCUGGGCAAGCCGGUCAGCUGAA